AGUGAACGCUGGCGGUAGGCCUAACACAUGCAAGUCGAACGGCAGCACAGUAAGAGCUUGCUCUUACGGGUGGCGAGUGGCGGACGGGUGAGGAAUACAUCGGAAUCUACUUUUUCGUGGGGGAUAACGUAGGGAAACUUACGCUAAUACCGCAUACGACCUACGGGUGAAAGCAGGGGAUCUUCGGACCUUGCGCGAUUGAAUGAGCCGAUGUCGGAUUAGCUAGUUGGCGGGGUAACGGCCCACCAAGGCGACGAUCCGUAGCUGGUCUGAGAGGAUGAUCAGCCACACUGGAACUGAGACACGGUCCAGACUCCUACGGGAGGCAGCAGUGGGGAAUAUUGGACAAUGGGCGCAAGCCUGAUCCAGCCAUGCCGCGUGGGUGAAGAAGGCCUUCGGGUUGUAAAGCCCUUUUGUUGGGAAAGAAAAGCAGCAGGUUAAUACCCCGCUGUUCUGACGGUACCCAAAGAAUAAGCACCGGCUAACUUCGUG
rnacentral:rRNA from 1 species